UAAAUAAAUAUGUUAUACAAAUUUGUUGCUUCACACCAGGAGCCGCCAAGAAAAAAGAGUGCUCCCAUUAAUUGAGCAUGUGGAAGCCAUGACAUGUAAUACUAUUUGAGAAAAUACAUAUUAUGACCACAAAAAGAUUUUAUAAAUCAUAUUUGUGUACACUUUUAUCCAAACUCAGUGAAAAUGCUAUGCGUUAUUUGCUCAAAUUCACAUCACCAAUAGCAAACACAAACAUAAGCAGAAGAGCAAGUCUCCCAAAGGAGGACCAAAACCUUUCGACCAUGUCGCACAUAUCAGGGCCUGACUAAUACUGCUUACUCGAAGAUAAGCAACAGAGAUCAAUUUCUCUGCAUUCUUUGCUACCUAUUUGCUAUCUUGGUCAAUCUUAUUUAUAUCUGGAGCAUGAACUUUGAAGAUACCCUGCAAAUAACAUGGGAAAUACAAGUGAAUUUGUACGACAAAGCUAAUCCUAUUGGAAACUUCCUAUGAAUUAAGGAUGAGCUAGGUAAAUCAAGGAGCAAAUUAGAUUUUAUCAUCCGCUUUGAAAUUAAUUGGAACACAGAGAGCAAAUAUCUCUUGGAUGACUCCAUGCGCCAAACAAUGAGCACGUACAGUAGAUAGUAGCAAUCAAACUGGCAGUAAAUAUAACAAACAAAAUCUGCAGCAGUAUGGAAAGAUACCGUAACCACUUACAUAUGCGCGCAGCUGGAGCUUGUUACACGAUAAAGUUUAGACCAUUACUCUUGAGCAUGAAGCAUCAAUUAAUCUGAGGAAGUAGAUCCAAGUAAAUCAAAAGUUUCUAACCAUUGCAUCAUUAAAAAUGCAGUCAAAAAGGUUCCAGUUCUUCCAAUCUAGCGUACAAUCAAAGAAAUAAAGGAAAUGUUGAACACAAUAAAAAUGUCUUGUAGAGGAGUUAAUAAACUAAACUACCUUACACC
rnacentral:lncRNA from 1 species